rnacentral:rRNA from 1 species
UACGUAGGGCGCAAGCGUUGUCCGGAAUCAUUGGGCGUAAAGAGCGCGUAGGCGGCCCAGUAAGUCCGCUCUGAAAGUCAGGGGCUCAACCCCUGGAUGCGGGUGGAUACUGCUGGGCUAGAGUCCGGAAGAGGUGAGUGGAAUUCCUGGUGUAGCGGUGAAAUGCGCAGAUAUCAGGAGGAACACCGAUGGCGAAGGCAGGUCUCUGGGCAUUAACUGACGCUGAGGAGCGAAAGCAUGGGGAGCGAACAGG